CCUGCGGUGGAUGAGUUGUGGAGCACAGCAAAGGCUUCUUUGGUUUCUGAAGGGAGGAAUUCGCAUUCAGAGCUGUUGACUGAGAUGGGGGCUCAUGUUUCUGUUGUACCUGCAUCAGAGGCAGAGCUUCUCUGCACUUGGUUUCUGAAGGAUCUGGAAGAAAUUACCAGUGACAGUUGUGAGAGGGAUGUACUCCAGCUUGGCGGGGCUGGUUUGUGCUUUGUUACCACAUUGCCUCUUCCUAGCAAAGUGGAUUUGCUGGUGGCAUUCCUGGAUUUCUUGAGCUCUCAUGCUAACUCUGAGUCAGCUUUGACCUGGCUGGGUGCCCACCUGCAUUAUUCCAGAUGUGGCCAUGGAAAGUCCACAGGGAAAGCAACACUAGGGGAGAAGGUCUUGCUGGCUUGAUGACUAAAAACAAAAUAAAAAUCAAGUAAGAUUCCUC